UACGUAGGUGGCAAGCGUUGUCCGGAAUUAUUGGGCGUAAAGCGCGCGCAGGCGGUCCUUUAAGUCUGAUGUGAAAGCCCACAGCUCAACCCUGGGAUGCCGGUGGAUACUGUCGGGCUCGAGUCCGGAAGAGGCGAGUGGAAUUCCUGGUGUAGCGGUGGAAUGCGUAGAUAUCGAGAGGAACACCAGUGGCGAAGGCGAGUCUCUGGACAAUUCCUGACGCUGAGGCACGAAAGCUAGGGGAGCAAACAGG
rnacentral:rRNA from 1 species